GCAGGAGUGACGGAAUGGCAUACGUGCCUGCCUCAAAAGCAGGAUUUUGAGGGUUCAACUCCCUUCUCCUGUA
rnacentral:tRNA from 1 species